rnacentral:misc_RNA from 1 species
GAUGAAGAACGUAGCGAGAUGCGAUAAGUAAUGUGAAUUGCAGAAUUCAGUGAAUCAUCGAAUCUUUGAACGCUCAUUGCGCCCCUUGGUAUUCCGAGGGGCAUGCCUGUUCGAGCGUCAUUAUAACCCCUCAAGCUCAGCUUGGUGUUGGGGCCUGCUGCACUGGCAGCCCUUAAAAUCAGUGGCGGCGCCAUCUGGCUCUAAGCGUAGUAAUUCUUCUCGCUAUGGAGUCCUGGUGGAUGCUUGCCAUCAACCCCCAAUUUUUCUAUGGUUGACCUCGGAUCAGGUAGGGAUACCCGCUGAACUUAAGCAUAUCAAUAGCGGAGGA